GAUGAACGCUGGCGGCGUGCCUAAUACAUGCAAGUCGAGCGAACAGACGAGGAGCUUGCUCCUCUGACGUUAGCGGCGGACGGGUGAGUAACACGUGGAUAACCUACCUAUAAGACUGGGAUAACUUCGGGAAACCGGAGCUAAUACCGGAUAAUAUAUUGCACCGCAUGGUUCAAUAGUGAAAGACGGUUUUGCUGUCACGUAUAGAUGGAUCCGCGCCGCAUUAGCUAGUUGGUAAGGUAACGGCUUACCAAGGCGACGAUGCGUAGCCGAGCUGAGAGGGUGAUCGGCCACACUGGAACUGAGACACGGUCCAGACUCCUACGGGACGCAGCAGUAGGGAAUCUUCCGCAAUGGGCGAAAGCCUGACGGAGCAACGCCGCGUGAGUGAUGAAGGUCUUCGGAUCGUAAAACUCUGUUAUUAGGGAAGAACAAAUGUGUAAGUAACUAUGCACGUCUUGACGGUACCUAAUCAGAAAGCCACGGCUAACUACGUG
rnacentral:rRNA from 1 species